rnacentral:tRNA from 1 species
GGGGCCGUAGCUCAGCUGGGAGAGCAUCAGGCUGGCAGUCUGAAGGUCGUGGGUUCAAAUCCCACCGGCUCCA